ensembl:lncRNA
GUCAGAGUGCUCUCUAAGUGUUACUCACCUGCUUGGAUGUCAGCUGGCAGAGUGGCGGAGACGGCCAUCGUGAGAGUCCUUUCUUCAGGUGUGAGGUCCACAACCUCCAAGAGGGAAGAGAUGGGCUCUGCCUCUGUAUUAGGGGUGAUGUCCACCACAUUCAGGUUGGAAGAAGCAGGAUCUGCCUCUGUGUUAGUGGUGAUGUCUUGAACCUCCAGGUGGGAAGAACCCGGAUCUGUCUCUGUGUUAGUGGUGAUGUCCACAACCUCCAGGUGGGAAGAACCCGGAUCUGUCUCUGUGUUAGUGGUGAUGUCCACAACCUCCAGGUGGGAAGAAGCCGGAUCUGUCUCUGUGUUAGUGGUGAUGUCCACAACCUCCAGGUGGGAAGAAGCCGGGUCUGUAUUGUGGGUGAAAACAACAAUCCUGAUGAGCUCUUCUACUACAAUCCGUCAUCAUGAAGUGCUUUGAGAGACUAGUCAAGGACCCGAUCACCUCCACCCUACCUGACACCCUAGACCCACUCCAAUUUGCUUACCGCCCAAAUAGGUCCACAGACGAUGCAAUCUCAACCACACUGCACACUGCCCUAA